rnacentral:rRNA from 1 species
AAUGAACGCUGGCGGCAGGCCUAACACAUGCAAGUCGAGCGAGCAUUUCGGUGCUAGCGGCGGACGGGUGAGUAACGCGUGGGAACGUGCCCUUUUCUGCGGAAUAGUCCUGGGAAACUGGGGGUAAUACCGCAUACGCCCUUUUGGGGAAAGAUUUAUCGGAGAAGGAUCGGCCCGCGUUGGAUUAGGUAGUUGGUGGGGUAAUGGCCCACCAAGCCGACGAUCCAUAGCUGGUUUGAGAGGAUGAUCAGCCACACUGGGACUGAGACACGGCCCAGACUCCUACGGGAGGCAGCAGUGGGGAAUCUUAGACAAUGGGGGCAACCCUGAUCUAGCCAUGCCGCGUGAGUGAUGAAGGCCUUAGGGUUGUAAAGCUCUUUCAGCUGGGAAGAUAAUGACGGUACCAGCAGAAGAAGCCCCGGCGAACUCCGU